ACGGAAGGCAGCAGUGGGGAAUAUUGCACAAUGGGCGCAAGCCUGAUGCAGCGACGCCGCGUGAGCGAAGAAGUAUUUCGGUAUGUAGAGCUCUAUCAGCAGGGAAGAAAAUGACGGUACCUGACUAAGAAGCUCCGGCUAAAUACGUGCCAGCAGCCGCGGUAAUACGUAUGGAGCAAGCGUUAUCCGGAUUUACUGGGUGUAAAGGGAGCGUAGACGGAACAGCAAGUCUGAUGUGAAAGGCAGGGGCUCAACUCCUGGACUGCAUUGGAAACUGUUGAUCUUGAGUGCCGGAGAGGUAAGCGGAAUUCCUAGUGUAGCGGUGAAAUGCGUAGAUAUUAGGAGGAACACCAGUGGCGAAGGCGGCUUACUGGACGGUAACUGACGUUGAGGCUCGAAAGCGUGGGGAGCAAACAGGAUUAGAUACCCUGGUA
rnacentral:rRNA from 1 species